CAAUAGCGUAUAUUUAAGUUGUUGCAGUUAAAAAGCUCGUAGUUGGAUUUCGGGUGUGAACGACCGGUCCGUCUUUGAUGUGUACUGGUUGGUUGCGCCUUAUUGUCGAGGACGUGGUUCUAGCUUUCAUUAGCCGGGACACGGAGUCGGCAGCGUUACUUUGAGAAAAUUAGAGUGUUCAAAGCAGGCUAUCGCUCUGAAUACUACAGCAUGGAAUAACACGAUAGGACUCCGAGCCUAUUCUGUUGGUCUUCGGGACCGGAGUAAUGAUUAAGAGGGACAGUUGGGGGCAUUCGUAUUCCGAUGUCAGAGGUGAAAUUCUUGGAUUAUCGGAAGACGAGCAUCUGCGAAAGCACUUGCCAAGGAUGUUUUCAUUAA
rnacentral:rRNA from 1 species